GGAAUCUUCCGCAAUGGACGAAAGUCUGACGGAGCAACGCCGCGUGAGUGAAGAAGGUUUUCGGAUCGUAAAACUCUGUUGUCAGAGAAGAACAAGUUGGAGAGUAACUGCUCCAGCCUUGACGGUAUCUGACCAGAAAGCCACGGCUAACUCCGUGCCAGCAGCCGCGGUAAUACGUAGGUGGCAAGCGUUGUCCGGAUUUAUUGGGCGUAAAGCGAGCGCAGGCGGUUCCUUAAGUCGGAUGUGAAAGCCCACGGCUCAACCGUGGAAGGUCAUUGGAAACUGGGGAACUUGAGUGCAGAAGAGGAGAGUGGAAUUCCAUGUGUAGCGGUGAAAUGCGUAGAUAUAUGGAGGAACACCAGUGGCGAAGGCGACUCUCUGGUCUGUAACUGACGCUGAGGCUCGAAAGCGUGGGGAGCAAACA
rnacentral:rRNA from 1 species